rnacentral:rRNA from 1 species
UACGGAGGAUCCAAGCGUUAUCCGGAUUUAUUGGGUUUAAAGGGUGCGUAGGCGGCCAAUUAAGUCAGGGGUGAAAGACGGUAGCUUAACUAUCGCAGUGCCUUUGAUACUGAUUGGCUUGAAUGGACUAGAGGUAGGCGGAAUGUGACAAGUAGCGGUGAAAUGCAUAGAUAUGUCACAGAACACCAAUUGCGAAGGCAGCUUACUAUGGUUUAAUUGACGCUGAGGCACGAAAGCGUGGGGAU